rnacentral:tRNA from 1 species
GGUAUGGCCUAGCUGGUUAGGGCGCAAGAUUGUGGCUCUUGAGGUCGUGGGUUCGAAUCCCACUAUC